rnacentral:rRNA from 1 species
AUAUCAAUAAGCGGAGGAAAAGAAACCAACAGGGAUUGCCUUAGUAACGGCGAGUGAAGCGGCAAAAGCUCAAAUUUGAAAUCUGGCACUUUCAGUGUCCGAGUUGUAAUUUGAAGAAAGUUUUCUUGAGUAGUCCUUUAUCUAUGUUUCUUGGAACAGGACGUCAUAGAGGGUGAGAACCCCGUAUGAUUUUGGAUACUAUUCUUUGUAGAAUUCUUUCGAAGAGUCGAGUUGUUUGGGAAUGCAGCUCUAAGUGGGUGGUAAAUUCCAUCUAAAGCUAAAUAUUGGCGAGAGACCGAUAGCGAACAAGUACAGUGAUGGAAAGAUGAAAAGAACUCUGAAGAGAGAGUGAAAAAGUACGUGAAAUUGCUAAAAGGGAAGGGUUUGAGGUCAGACAUGGUGUUUAAUGAUUAUCUUCCUUUCUAGGUUGUGCACUCGUUUUUCACUGGGCCAAUGUCAGUUUUGGAGAAAAAGUACCCUUUGGAAUGUGGCUUCUUCGGAAGUGUUAUAGCCUUUGGACGAUUUUUUUCUGAGAUUGAGGACUGCGCAUUUUGCUAGGAUAUUGGCGUAAUGACCUUAAACCGCCCGUCUUGAAACAUGGACCAAGGAGUCUAACGUCUAUGCGAGUGUUUGGGUGUUAAACCCGUACGCGUAAUGAAAGUGAACGUAGAUUGGGGCCUUCGGGUGCACAAUCGACCGAUCCUGAAGUUUUCUGAUGGAUUUGAGUAAGAGCAUAGCUGUUGGGACCCGAAAGAUGGUGAACUAUGCCUGAAUAGGGUAAAGCCAGAGGAAACUCUGGUGGAAGCUCGUAGCGGUUCUGACGUGCAAAUCGAUCGUCGAAUUUGGGUAUAGGGGCGAAAGACUAAUCGAACCAUCUAGUAGCUGGUUCCUGCC